UUUAAUUGAAGAGUUUGAUCAUGGCUCAGAUUGAACGCUGGCGGCAGGCCUAACACAUGCAAGUCGGGCGGUAACAGGGGGAA
rnacentral:rRNA from 1 species